rnacentral:tRNA from 1 species
AGCUCAGUGGUAGAGCACAUGCUUAGCAUGCCUGAGGUCCUGGGUUCAAUUCCCAG